AGGCAGAUAACAAGGUCAGGAGUGCAAGAUCAGCCUGGCUAAUGUGGUGAAACCCCAUCACCACUAAAAAUACAAAAAUUAGCCGGGUGUGGUGGUGCACACCUGUAAUCCCAGCUACUCGGGAGGCUGAGGCUGGAGGAUCGCUUGAGUCCAGGAGUUCUGGGCUGUAGUGCGCUAUGCCGAUCGGGUGUCCGCACUAAGUUCGGCAUCAAUAUGGUGACCUCCCGGGAGCGGGGGACCACCAGGUUGCCUAAGGAGGGGUGAACCGGCCCAGGCUGGAGUGCAGUGGCUAUUCACAGGCGCAAUCCCACUACUGAUCAGCACGGGAGUUUUGACCUGCUCCGUUUCCGACCUGGGCCGGUUCACCCCUCCUUAGGCAACCUGGUGGUCCCCCGCUCCCGGGAGGUCACCAUAUUGAUGCCGAACUUAGUGCGGACACCCGAUCGGCAUAGCGCACUACAGCCCAGAACUCCUGGGCUC
rnacentral:SRP_RNA from 1 species